GCGACUAAGCGUACACGGUGGAUGCCCUGGCAGUCAGAGGCGAUGAAGGACGUGCUAAUCUGCGAUAAGCGUCGGUAAGGUGAUAUGAACCGUUAUAACCGGCGAUUUCCGAAUGGGGAAACCCAGUGUGUUUCGACACACUAUCAUUAACUGAAUCCAUAGGUUAAUGAGGCGAACCGGGGGAACUGAAACAUCUAAGUACCCCGAGGAAAAGAAAUCAACCGAGAUUCCCCCAGUAGCGGCGAGCGAACGGGGAGCAGCCCAGAGCCUGAAUCAGUGUGUGUGUUAGUGGAAGCGUCUGGAAAGGCGCGCGAUACAGGGUGACAGCCCCGUACACAAAAAUGCACAUGCUGUGAGCUCGAUGAGUAGGGCGGGACACGUGGUAUCCUGUCUGAAUAUGGGGGGACCAUCCUCCAAGGCUAAAUACUCCUGACUGACCGAUAGUGAACCAGUACCGUGAGGGAAAGGCGAAAAGAACCCCGGCGAGGGGAGUGAAAAAGAACCUGAAACCGUGUACGUACAAGCAGUGGGAGCACGCUUAGGCGUGUGACUGCGUACCUUUUGUA
rnacentral:rRNA from 1 species